rnacentral:lncRNA from 1 species
UUCUUUUGACAAUUCCGCCAUCCCUUCUUCUUUCUGCCAGGAUGACUCACCCUGGCUCAGGACUAGGGCAUGUGAUUUAGGUUUAAGCCCAUUGAGGUAUUGCAUUUCCUUGGACUCCAAUGACUGGCUCAUUGAUAAUUAUGUGACUUAAUUAGAGCCAAUUAGAGACACAAUGAGACUUUUGCAGGGAAUUCUGGGAAGGAGACUCUCACUAGAUCCUUGCUUGACUUGAGAGGUAUGAGGUUGGAACGGCUGUAGCCAUCUCCAUCUAUUGAGGGAACACGGGUUUGAGAACACAGUCAAGUCAGGACGAGAACAAGAGACGCUGGAUCUUGAGGACAGUGCUUGAGCCCUCGAAUCAAUCAAUGUCUAAACUAAUGGAGGGUCGAUGAAGACAUUUGGCCAGAGGACCCUGAAACACCUGAAUCCCACCUUUGGCUGGCUAGCCCCAUUUCUCAGCAGUGCCUUCACAGGAGCGGGUAGGAAUAUAUCCAUAGAACACAUGCAGAUGGAUAAGCCAGGUUCUGGUCUCCAUUCCAGGAGAAUGCCAUUUGGUUGAAUUUUGGCUACAGUGUACGGACAUAAAGAAUUUGGGUCAUUCUUAUACCCAACAGACCACAUCCAGGAAAUGUAUUCAAGAUGCUUUGAUCUCAUCUGAGGGGUGGCUAAGUACAACCCAUUCUUAAUAAAGCUAUUUAUAGUGAGAAGCAAUUUGGGUCAGGCCUGCCUUUCCAGUCUGCCUCAUUGGCAAAGUGGUAGGCCCCUGACUUCUGUCUCUUACGUGUUCCUUGUGGUUUCUGUCUGCUCUGACUUUGGUUGUGUGUUGCAUUUAGAUGAGAUGCCAAGGAGAUAAUAUCGUCCAGAGAGCUAAGGAACAGCCUGAAUGCCUGGGGACUUUGUACUGUCUGUGACACUUCAGAAAGUGACUCAAUUAGCCAGUGGUUCAGAGCAAUGAGAACCCAUGAACACUUCGUCCAUUUGAGGGUAGAGACCACUCUGGCCACUUGAAAGCUUAGACUAGACUAUACACCAGCCCCUUGAAAGUUAAAGGCUAAUUCCAACUUUAUGAUUCUUGAUGAGGGUCAAGUUGCCAGUGAGGAUCUGGUAAGAGGAUGAGACCAGGCGAUUACUGAUACCAAUUUUGUGCCUCAAAAUAAAAUGAAUUCGUUCUCCAGAUAAUUUUAGAUUCUGGGUUUCAGAGUCACCUCAGAACAAUAAUAAAAGUAUGAUAACAGUAAUAAACAGUAAUGAAAAGCACUUAUGGGCUGGGUAUGGUGGCUCACGCCUGUAAUCCCAGCGUUCUGGGAGGCUGAGACUGGUGUAUCACUUGAGGUCAGGAGUUUGAGACCAGCCUGGCCAACAUGGUGAAACCCCAUGUCUAGUAAAAAUACAAAAAUUAGCUAGGCGUGGUGGCGCGUGCCUGUAGUCUAGGCUACUUGAGAGGCUGAGACAUGAAAAUCGCUUGAAUCCAGGAGGUGGAGGCUUCAGUGACCCAAGAUGGUGCCACUGCACUCCAGCCUGUGGACAGAGGAAGACUCCAUUUGAAGAAAAGAAAAAGGAAGAAAGAAAAGUACUUUUAUACACCUAUGAAAGUGCUUUCUAUAGUGUAAGAAGGCUGGUCCUUUCCAUUUCCUGGGAACACCAUACUUGUCUUGGUUAGAGAUCAUUUGGAGGCACGAAAUUCAAACCUACAGCAAAGUAACAGUUGUAUGUGUUAUAGUCAGAUUAUACUAAUCUAGCUUUCUAAGUCAUAUAGUCCUGUAUCUAAGCAGUGUUUUUCUCCAUAGUCUUGACUGGAGCUAAGGGUUGGCAGUCAAUUCUUGCUGCCAAGUUUGCGACAUGGCUGGGAUUGUGUGAGUUCUACAGAAGCCACAUGAAAGAUAAUUCCCGUUCCUCCUCCUGCAGCCUGCCCUUAAAUUUACAAGGACAUGACUUUGGGAGGCUGAGGUGGGUGGAUCACGAGGUCAGGAGUUCGAGACCAGCCUGACCAACAUGGUGAAACCCCAUCUCUACUAAAAAUACAAAAAUCAGCCGGGAGUGGUGGCGCGCACCUAUAAUCCCAGCUACUUAGGAGGCUGAGGCAGGAGAAUCACUUGAACCCAGGAGGCAGAGAUUGCAGUGAGACAAGAUCACGCCACUGCACCACUGCAUUCCAGCCUGGGUGACAGAGUGAGAAUCUGUCUCAAAAAAAAAAAAAAAUUACAAGGACAUGUUCCUAGCAUGGAGUCUCUGGAUAUUGUGAUAAAAUUGUCACAUGUCAUUAACACAGUUCAAUUCUGCAACUUGAGUGAUUGGACAAUCUGAUUCCAUUGCAAACUUUUUUUUGGUAACUGCAUCAGCAUCUUCCUAAAAUAUAUUAGAGUUGCCAUUGACAGAUGGUUUGAGAUGGGUCCAAGGAGGCUGUUGACAGAUAUCUUAAGAUGGAUCUUAUUACAUUGACAUUGACAUAUCUGAAGAAUGUCCUGUGGGAAAUGUCUUCACAG